ACUCAAAGGAAUAGACGGGGCCCCGCACAAGCGGCGGAGCAUGCGGAUUAAUUCGAUGCAACGCGUAGAACCUUACCUGGGUUUGACAUGGAUCGGGAGUGCUCAGAGAUGGGUGUGCCUCUUUUGGGGUCGGUUCACAGGUGGUGCAUGGCUGUCGUCAGCUCGUGUCGUGAGAUGUUGGGUUAAGUCCCGCAACGAGCGCAACCCUUGUUCACUGUUGCCAGCACGUUAUGGUGGGGACUCAGUGGAGACCGCCGGGGUCAACUCGGAGGAAGGUGGGGAUGACGUCAAGUCAUCAUGCCCCUUAUGUCCAGGGCUUCACGCAUGCUACAAUGGCUGGUACAGAGAGUGGCGAGCCUGUGAGGGUGAGCGAAUCUCGGAAAGCCGGUCUCAGUUCGGAUUGGGGUCUGCAACUCGACCUCAUGAAGUCGGAGUCGCUAGUAAUCGCAGAUCAGCAACGCUGCGGUGAAUACGUUCCCGGGGCUUGUACACACCGCCCGU
rnacentral:rRNA from 1 species